rnacentral:rRNA from 1 species
UACAGAGGUCCCAAGCGUUGUUCGGAUUCAUUGGGCGUAAAGGGUGCGUAGGUGGCGCCGUAAGUCAGGUGUGAAAUCCCUCGGCUUAACCGGGGAACUGCAUCUGAUACUGGAUGGCUUGAGUUCGGGAGAGGGAUGCGGAAUUCCAGGUGUAGCGGUGAAAUGCGUAGAUAUCUGGAGGAACACCGGUGGCGAAGGCGGCAUCCUGGACCGGCACUGACGCUGAGGAGCGAAAGCCAGGGGAGCAAACGGG